UACCAGCACCCCGAGUGGUCGGGACGAUUAUUGGGCCUAAAGCAUCCGUAGCCGGUUUUACAAGUCCUCCGUUAAAUCCAGCUGCUUAACAGAUGGGCUGCGGAGGAUACUAUAAGACUAGGAGGCAGGAGAGGCAAGCGGUACUCAGUGGGUAGGGGUAAAAUCCGUUGAUCCAUUGAAGACCACCAGUGGCGAAGGCGGCUUGCCAGAAUGCGCUCGACGGUGAGGGAUGAAAGC
rnacentral:rRNA from 1 species